UGUACCACCGUCAGCUCAUUUGUUGGGUAUAUUAGCUGGAGCAAAAAGCAUGGAGGAUUAGAACAAGUUUGGGAGAGCAGAGCUGCAGGAGUCUCCGGUCGUAAGCUGAGGGAUAAGAGAAACACAAAACCGCUUGUAUGCCUUAUGAACUGCGGAAUUGGCCAGGUUCGAUGGCGAGCUGAAGAAUCAGGUCCAAGAGCCUAAAGGAUUUCACCUGUGGUGUUAAGAUUUGGUUUCCCCACCAGGCUGGUGGGAGGCUUCCUGCAGCCCAUGAACAAAAUUGUUUCCACUCUGAUCUGACUUUUGUCAGCAUAUGAACUGUAACAGGCGCUCUAAACUCACCUGACCCUGUUGAACCGCCUCAGUUCAGUUUUCAGGAGUUUUAUGAACUGAAUGGUGUGGCUUGUUACUGGAACUGUGGAACUGAUUUGUUUUUUUUUAUUUGUUAAUUUAAUUUGUUUUCUUUGUGUAUUUCCUUUUAUUUUAAUAUGGCCAUUUAAAUGUUUUUUUUUCUUUCUUAUUGUAAUGUAAAUAAUUAAUCACUGUGAAUACAAGGCACUCACAUCUGCAACUUCUAGUCUGUCUACUCCUUCCUGAGCCGUAUCUAGACUUCUAAGAACUAGCCCAUUGACUUUGUUGGUCAUGAUCUAUGUUUAAUUAUCUAGAAAUAUAGUAUACUGGUUACACAGAUAUGCUACAUGUAGGUAUCAGGAAACCUCAUGAGAGAUCGCAAGUAACUCUGCAGUGCGAAAGUACAGGUUAGUGACUACAAAGGAGAUGGAGAAGUGACAGGGAAUGAAACAAAAGCCAGUUUCCUUUCUGGAUUUGUGGCAGCACAUUGACCCAGGUGAUUGACCUCUUUGGGAAUUCUUUCUUUCCAGACUGACUGAACUAUUAUUCCUCUUCAGCCCUCAGGAGGGAAACCAGGAAACCACAGACCAAGGAAAUCCACUGAUAGUGACAAAGAGAAGCUGGGAAAUUGUGUCUACUUUUUUUCUGUAUUUUGGAUUUAUUUAGUAAUUUUUUAUUUAAUGCCACUGUUUUUAUCAUAAUAUACUUUCUCCUCAAUGUCUGAGAAUUAGUCCAAUAACGUCCAAUAAUAAUGGACAUUUAAGUAAACCCUUUCUCUGUGUUCUCUGGUCUGCCUUCCUACCUGAGUUAACUGGAUUUUCCGCCUGUUGACCUCCCAGCAACACGUAGUGUGGAUGCCUUCGGUUUGGUCCAAGCCACUCUGGUUCCAAUACUUACCUGUCUGCCUGCUCUCUGAACCUCCAUCUCUCUCUCUGUGAGUAAUCCUCAAAUUCUCACACUGGUCUCAGAUAUAAGCUGGAUUCUUCCUGCCAAACUAUUCAACCUAAUCCACAGCAGAACCCAACUUCAAACAACUUUCUAGAAUAUUCUCUAGAACAUUCUAGAAAACUUAUCUGUGAUCCUCCAGUGUCUACACCAGUCUCCCUUUCAAAACCUGCUGAAUUGUACAUUUCAUUUAUUUGUACAUAUAGUAAAUAACUUUAUUACCUUUCAUCCUGUGUUCAUUGUAUGAUUCUGUAUGUGGGUUAAAAGAUUUUCCCUUAUGAUAAAGACAAAAGUCACUCGAGAAAGAUUUUUCCUUUAUUUCAUCCCCCAUGUAAAAAAAUCCUGGAUCUUCAGCUCGCCGACUUGUUUGGUUGUUGUUGUUCAACUGUUUGUCUGGUUGUAUUGGAAAUUGUUGUUUCUGACUUAUUGUAUUAAUCAUUGAUUUUG